GUCUACGGCCAUGCCACCCUGAACAUGCCCGAUCCCAUCUGAUCGUGGAAGCUAAGCAGGGUCAGGCCUGGUUAGUAGUUGGAUGGGAGACCACCUAGGAAGACCAGGUGCUGUAGGCG
rnacentral:rRNA from 1 species